UCCGUAGGUGAACCUGCGGAAGGAUCAUUAUCGUGGGGCUCCGGCCCCGUCGAGAUAGCACCCUUGCCUUUACAGUACCGCCCGUUUCCUCGGCAGGCUCGCCUGCCAAUGGGGACAACAAAACACCCUGAUACCACCUGUAACCGUCUGAUAAAACAAACAAAAAUCAAAACUUUCAACAACGGAUCUCUUGGUUCUGGCAUCGAUGAAGAACGCAGCGAAAUGCGAUACGUAGUGUGAAUUGCAGAAUUCAGUGAAUCAUCGAAUCUUUGAACGCACAUUGCGCCCUUUGGUAUUCCAAAGGGCAUGCCUGUUCGAGCGUCAUUUGUACCUUCAAGCUUUGCUUGGUGUUGGGCGUCUUUUUGUCUCUCCUUUGCGGGAGACUCGCCUUAAAACGAUUGGCAGCCGGCCUACUGGUUUCGGAGCGCAGCACAUUUUUUGCGCUUUGUAUCAGGAGAAAAGGACGGUACUCCAUCAAGACGUUUACAUUUUUUCACUUUUGACCUCGGAUCAGGUAGGGAUACCCGCUGAACUUAA
rnacentral:rRNA from 1 species